AAUUCCAAACCAAACCAUAAUAAAUUCCAGAAAUACAAUGCUCCAGCACAUCACCACUAUGAUGUUCAGGAUUUUCUUAACAAAUAAUAUCCUCAUCGUUCAUUGGGUAGGAGAGGAAUUAUUGAAUGGCCAGCAACAUCACCAGAUUUCUUUGCAUGGGGAUUCAUCAAAGAUGUUGCGUACAGCAUGGAAGGAAACAUUGACCUUGACAUGUGCAAAACACCUGCGCGGUGGCAGUCCACUACUGUGAAUGACACACCUGAUGCCAGUUGCGACUACAAUGUUUAUGGCACAACAGAAGUCACAGUUUUGUGAGAAUCACCUCCUUCUUUUGUGGCAUCUCGAGAAUCUUCCCAUUGGCCAUAAGGCUCAGGUUCCUAAAAUAUAUUCAUACAAUAUGCAAAUUAAAAUUAAUUUUAGAGUUAUGAGAUUAUAAUAUUGUACAAAUUCAGAUAGUAUUUUAUCAUGUCUUAUUACACUA